rnacentral:lncRNA from 1 species
AAGUACCACCAUUUUAUUUGAACAGGAAGAACCUGGUACAUGUGAGAUCCCACAGUCUGCUUGGACAGUUAAAGCUUCAGCCUGCAAUCCUUGACGAUCAUGACUGGAAUUGCUGCAAUUUCUGCUUCCUCUGUUGUAUCGAAGACAGCCGAUGCAUAUCGAUUGCCCAUGUUCCCUGUGAGCAGAUCGUCUUGCGUGAUGUAGGGUCCUGGACACACAAACACGCAGACUUGCUCUGCCUCAACUAUGUACUACACGGCUCUUCAAGAUAUCAAGAACGAAUACAAUCUAUUGGUUGCUGGGAUGUGACGCGCAUGAUGACAUCAGUGCCUACAAACCGUCGGUCAAGUCUGCCUUUUCACGAUUAUUCGAUAUUUGAGACUCUGAUGACGCAUCUGUAUCCUCUGCAAUCUUAACGACAUUGCAAAUUAUAUUCACGCAUGCACGAGUGCCUUAGGCCAGGAUGGUGUAUUCCAGGUACAUCAUCGAAUCAUCAAGACUGC